UUUGUCACCCAGGCUGGAAUGCAGUGGCAUGAUGAUAGUUCACUACACCGUUGAAUUCCUGGGCUUAAGUGAUUCUCCCGCAUCAGCCUCCCCCGGCCUAUGAGAAAUUUUCUGGGUCUUCUGCAGGCCUCACUGGAAAUGAGGGGGCCUGGGGUGGGGACCUCCCAGCCCUUCUGCGCUUGGCCCCCGCCCCAUCCUGUUCUUCUGGAGCUGCUCCGUGUUGGGCAGGCAGUCUGGGAAGCUGCCUCGCCUUAGGAUUCCAAAUGGAAACAGCUUUCUGCCUUUGGAUUCUCAUACAUAUGAUGGAGAUUUCUUUCCUACCCCUCACAUCCAUCAGCCUGGAUUAUCAACCACGGUCUCUCCUUUUCCCCCAACCUGCUGAAACAAUCAGCAGUAUCUGAUUUUUUUUUCUCUUUCCAGGCUCUUAACUACAGCAAAAUAAGAAACUGAAACAAGCAAACAAAAAGGCGUGGGCAGUGUUAAUUCCUUUCGCCAGUGUUAGGAGCUAUCCUGCAGCCUUCCUUAUUCCAAUGUUAACUGAGACAGACUCUUUGCCUAGGUAUCCAACCUCUGUCUUCAUCUUCCUAUCAAAGCCCGCUUAGUUUUGAGAGCAAUACUUUUCCCUCAACUAGUUCUAAGCUUUUGCUAGUUUAAAAGCACUUUGGUGUAAGAUCAACAUGAAAGUCAUGUUAAAAAGAAAAAUCAUCAUUCACCACUUCAACUGACCCCAUGUGUUGUUAGUCUGGGCCUGACCCCCCAAUGAAUGUCACUGAGCUAGUGGGAGAAGAGAAGCAUACCUCAUUAAAAGUAUGUAAAGAUAUUAUUCUCUCCCUCUGCCACCCUGGCAUAGCCCCC
rnacentral:lncRNA from 10 species